rnacentral:rRNA from 1 species
ACUCCUACGGGAGGCAGCAGUAAGGAAUAUUGGUCAAUGGGGGCAACCCUGAACCAGCCAUGCCGCGUGCAGGAAGACGGCCCUCUGGGUUGUAAACUGCUUUUAUCCGGGAAUAAACCCCCUUACGUGUAAGGGGCUGAAUGUACCGGAAGAAUAAGGAUCGGCUAACUCCGUGCCAGCAGCCGCGGUAAUACGGAGGAUCCAAGCGUUAUCCGGAUUUAUUGGGUUUAAAGGGUGCGUAGGCGGCCUGUUAAGUCAGGGGUGAAAGACGGUGGCUCAACCAUCGCAGUGCCUUUGAUACUGACGGGCUUGAAUACACUUGAAGUAGGCGGAAUGUGACAAGUAGCGGUGAAAUGCAUAGAUAUGUCACAGAACACCGAUUGCGAAGGCAGCUUACUAAGGUGCAAUUGACGCUGAGGCACGAAAGCGUGGGGAUCAAACAGGAUUAGAUACCCCUGGUAGUCCACGCCCUAAACGAUGAAUACUCGAUGUUAGCGAUAUACAGUUAGCGUCCAAGCGAAA